rnacentral:tRNA from 1 species
GCGGGAUUCGUAUAGUGGUAGUACUCUAGCCUUCCAAGCUGGAGGGAGGGGUUCGAUUCCCCUAUCCCGCUCCA